AUUGAACGCUGGCGGCAUGCCUUACACAUGCAAGUCGAACGGUAACGCGGGGCAACCUGGCGACGAGUGGCGAACGGGUGAGUAAUGUAUCGGAACGUGCCCAGUUGUGGGGGAUAACUGCUCGAAAGAGCAGCUAAUACCGCAUACGACCUGAGGGUGAAAGCGGGGGAUCGCAAGACCUCGCGCAGUUGGAGCGGCCGAUAUCAGAUUAGGUAGUUGGUGGGGUAAAGGCUCACCAAGCCAACGAUCUGUAGCUGGUCUGAGAGGACGACCAGCCACACUGGGACUGAGACACGGCCCAGACUCCUACGGGAGGCAGCAGUGGGGAAUUUUGGACAAUGGGCGCAAGCCUGAUCCAGCCAUGCCGCGUGCGGGAAGAAGGCCUUCGGGUUGUAAACCGCUUUUGUCAGGGAAGAAAAGACUCCUGUUAAUACCGGGGGUUCAUGACGGUACCUGAAGAAUAAGCACCGGCUAACUACGUGCCAGCCGCCGCAGUAACAC
rnacentral:rRNA from 1 species